rnacentral:lncRNA from 1 species
UGCUGGCUGGCCGGCCGGAUGCCCUGAGCACCCAGUGCCCUCCAGGGCAGCAGUGCCUGGAGAAGGCCCCGGGCCAGUGCUUGCGGCCACCCUGCGCGGCUUGGGGGGCAUGUAGUGCGGAGGAGCCUGUGCUACCCAGCACCCCAUGCCAGCCGCGCUCCGGCCACCUGGACAACAACUGUGCCCGCCUCACCCUGCGCUUCAACCGCGAUCAGGUGCCCCAGGUGAGCCGCCCGCCCCCUGGACACCACUGGCGAGCAAAGCCCUGACUGCUGGCCUCCUUCCUGUGGCCGCUCAGACGGCUCGAGACCCCUGCUGGCUGCCCAGCCCCAUGCCUGCGUGUGGUUGGAUGAGAUGGAGCGUUGGGCUUGGGGGCAGCCGGGAGGGGCCGGCCCAGGCUGAGAUGCCCAGUUGUUCCUGGGGCCUGGCUGCAGGUGGCCUUCCCAGGAGGCUGGGGCCAGCCCGCAUCUCCACGGGCAUUCUCACCCCACCCUCGUCUCUGCCCGUAAGGCCCUCUGCUCUCAGUACUGGCCCUGGGCACGGAGGCUCGUCUGGGCUCUGGGUGGGGCUGAGGGCCGCCGUGGGCAGCUGGGACCCUUGCUCCCCCAGACAGGCUGUCAGGGCGUCCCGCUGCACGCUGCAGGGUGGACCCCCUUGGGGCCACGGUCGCUGCCCAAUGUUCACGUGCCACCUGCCCGGCAGGGUACCACCGUGGGCGCUGUCUGCUCUGGCAUCCGUGCUCUGCCGGCCACGAGGGCCGCAGCCCGGGACCGCCUGCUCGUCCUGCUCUGCGACCGGCCACCCUCGGAGGCCAGCGCGGUGGAGGUGGCCUUGUCCUUCAGCCCAGCCCGAGACGUGCCGGACAGCAGCCUGAUCCAGAGCGCGGCGCACGCCAUCGUGACCGCUAUCACGCAGCGGGGGAACAGCUCGCUGCUGCUGGCCGUCACCGAGGUCAAGGUGGAGACGGUCGUUGUGGGCAGGUCCUCCACAGGUGAGCGGGAGGGGAGCGCCGCUUGGGCCCAGGGAGAGUGGGUGGGUUCCUUUGGGCUCGGAGGGCAGGGCUGUGGCCUCUGCCUGCCCAGGGGACGCGGCAGCUCCUCUGUACCCGCCAGCAAAGGUUUCCCAGCCGACCCCACCUCCCAGCCCCGAUCCUGGGGCCCUGCCCAUCCCCACGAGCCGAAGGACCGGGCGUCUGGCCCUCUGACGUCUGGGUGCCUCCGCCCCAGGGCUGCUGGUGACAGUGCUGUGCGGCGUGUUCAGCGUGCUGUGUCUGGCGUGCGUGGUC